GAAGAUUUGUUGUAGUGCAGGAAGAGGAAAGCCAUGGAAUUAUUUGUCCUUUUCAGAGCCUUCAAAAGAUAAUUGCAGUUGGUGUGAACAGGUA